GAUGAACGCUGGCGGCGUGCCUAAUACAUGCAAGUCGAGCGAACGGACGAGAAGCUUGCUUCUCUGAUGUUAGCGGCGGACGGGUGAGUAACACGUGGAUAACCUACCUAUAAGACUGGGAUAACUUCGGGAAACCGUAGCUAAUACCGGAUGAUAUUUUGAACCGCAUGGUUCAAAAGUGAAAGACGGUCUUGCUGUCACUUAUAGAUGGAUCCGCGCUGCAUUAGCUAGUUGGUAAGGUAACGGCUUACCAAGGCAACGAUGCAUAGCCGACCUGAGAGGGUGAUCGGCCACACUGGAACUGAGACACGGUCCAGACUCCUACGGGAGGCAGCAGUAGGGAAUCUUCCGCAAUGGGCGAAAGCCUGACGGAGCAACGCCGCGUGAGUGAUGAAGGUCUUCGGAUCGUAAAACUCUGUUAUUAGGGAAGAACAUAUGUGUAAGUAACUGUGCACAUCUUGACGGUACCUAAUCAGAAAGCCACGGCUAACUACUUG
rnacentral:rRNA from 1 species